GACGAACGCUGGCGGCGUGCCUAAUACAUGCAAGUCGAACGCAGUGGGGACGGGUGAGUAACACGUGGGUAACCUCCCAUCAGAGGGGAUAACACUUGGAAACAGGUGCUAAACCGAUACUGAUGGAUGGACCCGCGGUGCAUUGGCUAGUUGGGGGGGUAACGGCUCACCAAGGCCACGAUGCAUAGCCGGCCUGAGAGGAGGAUCAGCCACACUGGGACUGAGACACGGCCCAGACUCCUACGGGAGGCAGCAGUGGGGAAUAUUCGGCAAUGGGCGAAAGUCUGACGGAGCAACGCCGCGUGAGUGAAGAAGGUUUUCGGGUCGUAAAGCUCUGUUGUUAGGGAAGCGGUAUCUAACGAAAAAGCCACGGCUAACUACGUGCCAGCAGCCGCGGUAAUUC
rnacentral:rRNA from 1 species